AUCCACUGAGCCACACCGGCCAGGGCAUGGCUCCUAUUCCACGCACCGUGUUUAUCCACAAAAGGGAAAUGGAUGGCUGAUGUCUAGGGCGGUGACGAUGGUCUGCGAGGCGUGGGGUUCCUUUGACAAGCGACCCCUUUUCCGGGCCUGCCAGCUCUGGCGCCCGCACCCGAGCCACGGGGAGUGUGCAAACGGCAGGCCGAGAACGUAUCUCGAGGAUCACAGGCGACACGAUAUCCGGCGCUAAUACGGCUUAUUUGGGGUAACCGAUUAUUGGAAAACCUUUUCAUGUAGCCCCCGAAUGACAUGUUUAAUCACAGCUUUUCAACUUGAAAGAGACAGGAUUUCCUUAUCUUGACAUGACUUAUCGUCGGAGCGGGAGCCAGGCACCGUGAGGACAGAAUCCGGGCUCCUUUGUCCGAAGGGCACUUAGCAAGGAAGCAGUUUACAGUCGCAGCGAGGCCAGCAGAGAAACUAACGGAUGGCCAGUAAUUCUCCUUGUAAGGUUUUUCCCCCCAAACGAUCUUAUCUCGUCAACCUCUUUCCAAAAAGCUCACCGACCGGAGACCUGUGAUGAGCGGCGGAGAUAGGGUGCGUGGUGUGGGCAACCGUGUGAAUGUUUCUCUUUCCGCUGCCUAUCGGCAAAGGCUGUUUUAUUUCUUUGGGGACACGAGUCGGAUUCCUCUGUCUUCCCUGAGCCUUUGUGGCUAAAGAUUUUCUAUCAUCACUGAUUGUUUUCUGCAGAAACGGUGAUGAAAAGUCACCUCUCUGCCUUCUUUCCUGCGAGCCUGGAAUUGGGUGGCUUGUGUGGCUCAGCCCGUGGUGCGUCCCAGGGCCGUGGCCAGGAAAACGAU